rnacentral:rRNA from 1 species
CGGGGAUACAAAUAUAAGACGAGAAGACCCCAUGGAGCUUUAAACCCAACAGCACCCGUUUAUUUUCAUCCUCACAUAAGUUAGGUUAUGCCUGUUUGGUUUUAGGUUGGGGUGACCACGGAGUAUAAAACAACCUCCAUGAAAAAAGGACCAAAAAUCCUUAUAGAGAAAGACAUUUCUAAAAUUAAUAAAUUAAUUUUUAAUGAUCCGAUAUUCGAUCAACGAACCAAGUUACCCUGGGGAUAACAGCGCAAUCCACUUCAAGAGCUCCUAUCGACAAGUGGGUUUACGACCUCGAUGUUGGAUCAGGGUAUCCUAGUGGUGCAGCAGCUACUAACGGUUCGUUUGUUCAACGAUUAAAACCCU